rnacentral:lncRNA from 1 species
UCCUGGAUUUAGAUAUUUCGGUUUUAAACGGGAAACUCCACACUAAAAUUUACGACAAAAGAGACGAUUUUUCGUUCCCUAUUGUUAAUUUUCCAUUUUUAGAUGGUGAUGCUCCUUUGGCACCAUCUUACGGUGUUUAUAUUUCACAACUUGUUCGCUAUGCCCGUGUCUGUUGUGACGUUUUUGAUUUUAACGAACGCAACCUAUGUAUUACUGGUAAAUUAUUAAACCAGGGAUAUUGUUACCAUAAAUUACUUAAAACGUUUACUAAAUUUUUCCAUAGAUAUAAAGAUUUGGUUUUGAAGUUUGGUUGUACCUGUAGAAAACUUAUUUCAAACGGGAUAGCACAUCCUCAUUUUUAC